ACCUCCCGUAGCGGGAGGCAGCAGGUAGGGGAAUUAUUGCCAACGGAAAUCGGGGGAAGCCCAUGACUGCAGCCCAUGCCCGCGUGUGUGAAGAAGGCCUUCGGGUUGUAAAGCACUUUCAGUUGUGAGGAAAGGGAUGUAGUUAAUACCUGCAUUCUGUGACGUUAGCAACAGAAGAAGCACCGGCUAACUCCGUGCCAGCAGCCGCGGUAAUACGGAGGGUGCGAGCGUUAAUCGGAAUUACUGGGCGUAAAGCGUGCGUAGGCGGUUUAUAUAAGCUAGAUGUGAAAGCCCGGGGCUUAACCUCGGAACUGCAUUUAGAACUGUAUGACUAGAGUUUUGUAGGAGGGUGGUGGAAUUUCCAGUGUAGCGGUGAAAUGCGUAGAGAUU
rnacentral:rRNA from 1 species